rnacentral:lncRNA from 1 species
CCUGGCUAGCAAAGGUAGUCUUGCCUGCCGGGUAGCAGCCCUCAGAGAGAAUAGAAGGAGAAUUUGACCUUGUUCCCUGAAGUUUGUGAGCAUAGAGUAUGAAGUCUGUUCCUUGUCUAGACAUGGGAUUGGCUGGAGCUGCACCUUAGAGCAAAGAGGAGAGCCAAGAUUGUAGUGGGAGUAAGCCACAAUUCUACAGUACUCAGGGU